rnacentral:misc_RNA from 1 species
UCCGCGUUAACCACGGCAGUCUCACUAGAGUGCUCAACUUAAUGGUAGCAACUAAUGAUAAGGGUUGCGCUCGUUGCAGGACUUAACCUAACAUCUCACGACACGAGCUGACGACAACCAUGCACCACCUGUCUUCCUGCCCCGAAGGGCUUCCUCCAUUACGAGUAAUUCAGGAGAUGUCAAGUCUAGGUAAGGUUCUUCGCGUUGCUUCGAAUUAAACCACAUGCUCCGCUGCUUGUGCGGGCCCCCGUCAAUUCCUUUGAGUUUUAAUCUUGCGAUCGUACUUCCCAGGCGGAGUACUUAUUGUGUUAACUGCGGCACAGAAGGAGUCGAUACCUCCUACACCUAGUACUCAUCGUUUACGGCGUGGACUAC